GCCCCCAUAGCUCAGCGGUUAGAGCAGACGACUCAUAAUCGUUUGGUCGCUGGUUCAAUCCCAGCUGGGGGCACCA
rnacentral:tRNA from 1 species